rnacentral:rRNA from 2 species
GAAUCUGCCCAGAAGCAGGGGAUAACACUUGGAAACAGGUGCUAAUACCGUAUAACAACAAAAUCCGCAUGGAUUUUUGUUUGAAAGGUGGCUUCGGCUAUCACUUUCUGGAUGAUCCCGCGGCGUAUUAGUUAGUUGGUGAGGUAAAGGCCCACCAAGACGAUGAUACGUAGCCGACCUGAGAGGGUAAUCGGCCACAUUGGGACUGAGACACGGCCCAAACUCCUACGGGAGGCAGCAGUAGGGAAUCUUCCACAAUGGACGAAAGUCUGAUGGAGCAAUGCCGCGUGAGUGAAGAAGGGUUUCGGCUCGUAAAACUCUGUUGUUAAAGAAGAACACCUUUGAGAGUAACUGUUCAAGGGUUGACGGUAUUUAACCAGAAAGCCACGGCUAACUACGUGCCAGCAGCCGCGGUAAUACGUAGGUGGCAAGCGUUGUCCGGAUUUAUUGGGCGUAAAGCGAGCGCAGGCGGUUUUUUAAGUCUGAUGUGAAAGCCUUCGGCUUAACCGGAGAAGUGCAUCGGAAACUGGGAGACUUGAGUGCAGAAGAGGACAGUGGAACUCCAUGUGUAGCGGUGGAAUGCGUAGAUAUAUGGAAGAACACCAGUGGCGAAGGCGGCUGUCUAGUCUGUAACUGACGCUGAGGCUCGAAAGCAUGGUAGCGAACAGGAUUAGAUACCCUGGUAGUCCAUGCGUAACGAUGAGUGCUAGUGUUGAGGUUUCGCCCUCAGUGCUGCAGCUACGCAUAGCACUCGGCUGGGAGUACGAC